rnacentral:rRNA from 1 species
GUGGGGAAUAUUGCACAAUGGGGGAAACCCUGAUGCAGCGACGCCGCGUGAGGGAAGAAGGUUUUCGGAUUGUAAACCUCUGUCCUUGGUGACGAUAAUGACGGUAGCCAAGGAGGAAGCCACGGCUAACUACGUGCCAGCAGCCGCGGUAAUACGUAGGUGGCAAGCGUUGUCCGGAAUUACUGGGUGUAAAGGGAGCGUAGGCGGGAAAGCAAGUUGAAUGUUUAAACUAUCGGCUCAACCGAUAAUCGCGUUCAAAACUGUUUUUCUUGAGUGAAGUAGAGGUAGGCGGAAUUCCUAGUGUAGCGGUGAAAUGCGUAGAUAUUAGGAGGAACACCAGUGGCGAAGGCGGCCUACUGGGCUUUAACUGACGCUGAGGCUCGAAAGCGUGGGUAGCAAACAGGA